rnacentral:rRNA from 1 species
GACGAACCGUGCAAACGUUGUUCGGAAUCACUGGGCUUAAAGGGCGCGUAGGCGGCCAGCACAAGUCAGUUGUGAAAUCUCCGAGCUUAACUCGGAAAGGUCAACUGAUACUGUGCGGCUAGAGUGCGGAAGGGGCAACUGGAAUUCUUGGUGUAGCGGUGAAAUGCGUAGAUAUCAAGAGGAACACCUGCGGCGAAGGCGGGUUGCUGGGCCGACACUGACGCUGAUGCGCGAAAGCGUGGGGAGCGAACAGG